UUCCCGCACAAUCCUUCCGCCCAAUAUUUGGAUUUCCCACACACCAACACCAGAGCUUAACUUCCCUUUCCCUAACCUAAUUUGUUCACUUCUCCCCAGGACCCCAGCGAUUAUCUGUGUUUUGCCUCCAUGGCAUCAGUUCUAGGAAGCAACCAUGAAGGAGAUUCCAGAGCCUGAAAGACAUUACUGGUGUGCUGAGUUGUUCCAUAAAGCAAAUCAAAAUCGCCGGUGAUCCAAGGGAUACCAAGCACGACUAGAGGAUCGCAACUUCAACUCCUUCAAUUUUAGUAAUGGACAGAUCAUGGAUGUACCUUGCACCAAGAUCAAGUCAAACUUUUGUUAAUGGGGUGCACACGUUCUUGAAUUUUGCAUUUGAGAGAGCUUGUGUCAAUGGGGGGAAAAUAAAAUGUCCAUGUACAAAGUGUCUAAAUAUGAAAUAUC
rnacentral:lncRNA from 1 species